CACAACCCCGAUCCCAAGCCCGAACUUCUGUGAAGAAGUUGGGGUUUGGGUACCAAACAUGCACGAUUUUUCUCAUGCGAGUGCAAAACGCAUUACAAUGUUUUGCACUCGCGCGGAAAAAUCGUGCGUCUUCCCGCAACGCACUCGGCACUUCUCCGGGCA